GAGUGAACGCUGGCGGUAGGCCUAACACAUGCAAGUCGAACGGCAGCACAGUAAGAGCUUGCUCUUACGGGUGGCGAGUGGCGGACGGGUGAGGAAUACAUCGGAAUCUACUUUUUCGUGGGAGAUAACGUAGGGAAACUUACGCUAAUACCGCAUACGACCUACGGGUGAAAGCAGGGGAUCUUCGGACCUUGCGCGAUUGAAUGAGCCGAUGUCGGAUUAGCUAGUUGGCGGGGUAAAGGCCCACCAAGGCGACGAUCCGUAGCUGGUCUGAGAGGAUGAUCAGCCACACUGGAACUGAGACACGGUCCAGACUCCUACGGGAGGCAGCAGUGGGGAAUAUUGGACAAUGGGCGCAAGCCUGAUCCAGCCAUACCGCGUGGGUGAAGAAGGCCUUCGGGUUGUAAAGCCCUUUUGUUGGGAAAGAAAAGCAGCAGGUUAAUACCCCGCUGUUCUGACGGUACCCAAAGAAUAAGCACCGGCUAACUUCGUG
rnacentral:rRNA from 1 species